rnacentral:tRNA from 2 species
GGGGGUUUAGCUCAGCUGGUUCAGAGCAUCUGCCUUACAAGCAGAGGGUCGGCGGUUCGAACCCGUCAACCCCCACAA